rnacentral:rRNA from 1 species
GAUCAUGGCUCAGGACGAACGCUGGCGGCGUGCUUAACACAUGCAAGUCGAACGGGACGAUUGAAAGCUUGCUUUUGAAAGUCGAGUGGCAAACGGGUGAGUAACGCGUAGACAACCUGCCGUAAAGAUGGGGACAACAGUCCGAAAGGACUGCUAAUACCGAAUGUUGUAAAUCUUCCGCAUGGGAGACUUACUAAAGGUGGCCUCUACUUGUAAGCUAUCGCUUUACGAUGGGUCUGCGU